rnacentral:rRNA from 2 species
UGGGCAGGUUGAAGGUUGGGUAACACUAACUGGAGGACCGAACCGACUAAUGUUGAAAAAUUAGCGGAUGACCUGUGGCUGGGGGUGAAAGGCCAAUCAAACCGGGAGAUAGCUGGUUCUCCCCGAAAGCUAUUUAGGUAGCGCCUCGUGAAUUCAUCUCCGGGGGUAGAGCACUGUUUCGGCUAGGGGGCCAUCCCGGCUUACCAACCCGAUGCAAACUGCGAAUACCGGAGAAUGUUAUCACGGGAGACACACGGCGGGUGCUAACGUCCGUCGUGAAGAGGGAAACAACCCAGACCGCCAGCUAAGGUCCCAAAGUCAUGGUUAAGUGGGAAACGAUGUGGGAAGGCCCAGACAGCCAGGAUGUUGGCUUAGAAGCAGCCAUCAUUUAAAGAAAGCGUAAUAGCUCACUGGUCGAGUCGGCCUGCGCGGAAGAUGUAACGGGGCUAAACCAUGCACCGAAGCUGCGGCAGCGACACUGUGUGUUGUUGGGUAGGGGAGCGUUCUGUAAGCCUGUGAAGGUGUGUCGUGAGGC